rnacentral:rRNA from 2 species
UGGGGAAUAUUGGACAAUGGGCGCAAGCCUGAUCCAGCAAUGCCGCGUGGGUGAAGAAGGUCUUCGGAUUGUAAAGCCCUUUCGACGGGGACGAUGAUGACGGUACCCGUAGAAGAAGCCCCGGCUAACUUCGUGCCAGCAGCCGCGGUAAUACGAAGGGGGCUAGCGUUGCUCGGAAUUACUGGGCGUAAAGGGCGCGUAGGCGGCCCUGCAAGUCAGGCGUGAAAUUCCCGGGCUCAACCUGGGGGCUGCGCUUGAGACUGCGGGGCUAGAGGCCGAGAGAGGGUGGUGGAAUUCCCAGUGUAGAGGUGAAAUUCGUAGAUAUUGGGAAGAACACCGGUGGCGAAGGCGGCCACCUGGCUCGGUACUGACGCUGAGGCGCGACAGCGUGGGGAGCAAACAGG